rnacentral:tRNA from 1 species
GGGUCGAUGCCUGAGUGGUUAAAAGGGACGGAUUGUAAAUCCGUUGGCAAUGCCUACGUUGGUUCAAAUCUAACUCGGCCCA